GGCGAAGGCAAGGUCUCUGGGCUGUAACUGACGCUGAGGAGCGAAAGCAUGGGGAGCGAACAGGAUUAGAUACCCUGGUAGUCCAUGCCGUAAACGUUGGGCACUAGGUGUGGGGACAUUCCACGUUUUCCGCGCCGUAGCUAACGCAUUAAGUGCCCCGCCUGGGGAGUACGGCCGCAAGGCUAAAACUCAAAGGAAUUGACGGGGGCCCGCACAAGCGGCGGAGCAUGCGGAUUAAUUCGAUGCAACGCGAAGAACCUUACCAAGGCUUGACAUGAACCGGAAUGAUGCAGAGAUGUGUCAGCCACUUGUGGCCGGUUUACAGGUGGUGCAUGGUUGUCGUCAGCUCGUGUCGUGAGAUGUUGGGUUAAGUCCCGCAACGAGCGCAACCCUCGUUCCAUGUUGCCAGCGGGUUAUGCCGGGGACUCAUGGGAGACUGCCGGGGUCAACUCGGAGGAAGGUGGGGACGACGUCAAAUCAUCAUGCCCCUUAUGUCUUGGGCUUCACGCAUGCUACAAUGGCCGGUACAAAGGGUUGCGAUACUGUGAGGUGGAGCUAAUCCCAAAAAGCCGGUCUCAGUUCGGAUUGAGGUCUGCAACUCGACCUCAUGAAGUUGGAGUCGCUAGUAAUCGCAGAUCAGCAACGCUGCGGUGAAUACGUUCCCGGGCCUUGUACACACC
rnacentral:rRNA from 1 species